GACGAACGCUGGCGGCGUGCUUAACACAUGCAAGUCGAACGGAAAGGCCCUGCUUUUGUGGGGUGCUCGAGUGGCGAACGGGUGAGUAACACGUGAGUAACCUGCCCUUGACUUUGGGAUAACUUCAGGAAACUGGGGCUAAUACCGGAUAGGAGCUCCUGCCGCAUGGUGGGGGUUGGAAAGUUUCGGCGGUUGGGGAUGGACUCGCGGCUUAUCAGCUUGUUGGUGGGGUAGUGGCUUACCAAGGCUUUGACGGGUAGCCGGCCUGAGAGGGUGACCGGCCACAUUGGGACUGAGAUACGGCCCAGACUCCUACGGGAGGCAGCAGUGGGGAAUAUUGCACAAUGGGCGAAAGCCUGAUGCAGCAACGCCGCGUGCGGGAUGACGGCCUUCGGGUUGUAAACCGCUUUCGCCUGUGACGAAGCGUGAGUGACGGUAAUUGGUAAAGAAGCACCGGCUAACUACGUG
rnacentral:rRNA from 1 species